GCACAAAUUUACUGCCUGUGUCAAAAUUUACAAUUACUGUCCAACUUCAAUAGAAUAUAUAUACUUGUACUGCACAAAAUUACUGACUAUUAUUUGAUGAGAUAUAUAAUAUACAUUGGCACAAAUUUACUGUCUUCCUCUGUCAAAAUUGCACAAUUACUGUCCAACUUCAAUACAAUAUAUAUAUACUUGUACUGCACAAAAUUAUUGACUUUACUUUAUGAGAGAUAUAAUAUAUAUUUACACAAAUUUAAUAUUAUCCUGUCUGAAAAUGUACAAUUACAGUUCUUAUUGUUACAGAAUAAUAUGGCUAAAUCAAAAACUUGAUAACUUGGGCUUCAAGACACUUUAAUGAGCGUAAUCAAUAAUAAACAAUUAAAAACUUAACAAUGAUAGUCAAUGUCUGAAUAUCACAGCUUUACAGAACUUGUACUUUUCUCGCCUUACUCUACUGGUCCUCUACUGUGUCAGCCUGGCUUGACCCAACCGUGUUGAAAAACACAGUCCAUAGUCAGAUAACCAUAUCACUGUUGAUCUACAUUGGGAUUGUUUACAUGUGUUUGGUUGAUUAAUCAUAGAGCUACACUGCCCAGCAUCACAGUUCAGUUAUAUUAUUUUCAUAGUUAACAUAGUAUACUUCUAUCAUACCAAGUGUUGUUCACCUAAGUGUGUCCUAUCAGCUGUUGGAGCACCACAAGUGUCCUAAUAACUGUUUAGGUUCCUCAAAUGUCCUUUUAACUGAUGGGGCACCUCAAGUGUCCUAUCAUUUAGUAAGGCACCUUUUCUCUCCUACCAACUGUUGGGGCACAUCAUGUCAAGUCACCUGUGUGAGCACCUCAGGUGUCCUGUCAAUUUUUGGGGCUGCAACUAUUAGGCUUCAUAUCACUUUCAGGAUACAUCAGAUGUUGUAACUCUAUCUCUAUGUAUAUUUAUUUAUUUAUUACUUUUAAUUACUGUUAUUCUUAUAAAAUCCGUAGUAUUUUUUAAUAGUAAAGUCUGUUUAUUGCUUCCAGAACCACUUGUUUUUUUUUUCAGUUUCAGUAACAAUAUACUUGAAAUGGUUAAUCUCACUUCUUUUUACUGAAGGUUAGUUUUGUUUUGUUUACAGAUAUCAAGCUACAAAAUUAGAUUCCAAUUUUUUAGGGUUCUUGUCAAUAUCUGCAAUUUAAAUCCAUGUAUAAAGUUUUGUUAACUUGGACUUUUUUUUAUACAACUUUAUAUUUCAUUUUUUUUUCUUUCUGAGGUUCAAAUGUAUCAAUUGUUUUUGUUGGCAGAUAUCAAGGUAGAGAAAUAGGAAUCUACUUAAGAGUUUUUUAAUGUUUGAUUAGUCAAAAUAUUUGCACUAUUCCUAUUUCCAAUAUCUGCCAAAGUGUCUGCUAAGUUUAACUAGUAAAGAUUAGGAAAAUGGAUUGCAAAGUCUUACAUAUGGACAAAAAGAAUGCUAAAGAUUGAUCUCUUGGGGCUUGAUUCAGUGAAAGAAUGUUGGACUAACAGAAAUGUUAAGGAGUGUGUUUGUUUCUAUGGUGACAGUGGGAAGAGGUUAGCGAUUAGUUGUGAUUGAUGCAAAAUAUAUGGCAUUGUUGUCAUUUUGUCUUAGUUAAGACAGAAGACUCCAGAGUGUAAAGCCGAAAGGUUGUGUUAUUGUAGUGAGUUACAUUUUGUUAUGAAAUGUUAUUACUGAAGUCUACUACAGUGAUUUCAUGUGAUCACAAGUUAUUUUGUCUAUGUUAUAAAUUUUAUAGUUAGUUUUGUUCACAAGGAAGUUAUUCAAGUUAUUUGAAGUUUUAAUAGUUAAGAUAUGCUCUGCCUACAGCAGUUUAGUUGUCUACCAGCAGUGUACUGCUACCAGUCAACGAUCAUCAACAUUAAGAAGACUAAAUUAAGUAAAGCCAUGUCUAUUUCUACAUCAUUUUGUUGCUACUAACUUCUAACCUGGUGUUACUAACAACUAACUUGAAAUGGGAGAGAGGAAUUAUUAUCGAAUUUAUACUCAACUCCUCCAAUUCCAUACAUAACUGACAUAAAAUAAAACAUUAACAAAAUGUGUAUUAUUAUUGUAACAUUUCCUCCACUUUGCUUUUUUUUUUUUUCCUCCUUGAUUUUCAUCAUUUUUUCCUAAAGUGAUUUCAGUUUUAAAUUAUUUUGUGCAACAAGUUACCAGAACAAAGUCAAGCAUGAGAGGCCUCUACACUAAGACUUUGACUUCUCAUAAGAAUGGAUAGUCUUCUCAUAAGAAUGAAUUGUUUUCUCAAAAGAAUGGAUGGCUGCCUGGUCAUGUGGUAUGUGCACUGGACUGUUGUGGGGUCAUCUUGAUGCUCAUAUCUUGCCUGAUGCUAUUUAUUCUGCUGAACUUUUGGUCAAGGAAGUAGAUUCUCUUCAACUCUCAAGGAAGAUUCAAAACAUGUCAAACAUUAGACAAGAAUAUCAAGCAAGUGCAGUGUACAUACCAAGGUUAAUGAAGAUGUAGACCAACAUGAAGAUGUAGACCAACAUUAAAAUGUAGACCAACAUGAUGAAGAUGUAGACCGACAUGAAGAAGGAAUUUAAACCGAAAUAUUGAUCAAGAGACGUAGGGAAUAACAUGUGAACAUCUUGAGAGGGAAAACAAUUCCUAGAGGCAAAGACACAGACACAGUAGAUACAUUAGAGAGUGUUUCCUUUUCUACCAUCAUUUAGAGCCUUCCUUGUGCUCUAAGGAAACCUGCCAUUAUCUUGAGACUUCCUUGUGCUCUAAAGAAACCUGCCAUUAUCUUUUGAUUGCUAGGUGUUAAAGAUGAAAGAAAUGAACAUUUCCCUAAUGCUACUUCAAAACCAGACCUUCUCAAGACAAUUUUAGUGAUCAAGCUGCAAUAUGGAACCAAUGAAGAAUGAUCCUAACCUCAGGUUGAGUACCCAUGCUCACCUACUAGAGUGAUGACACAUUCUUCUACACCCAGAGUUAUACAUCCUGAACCCUGUAACCCAACCUCACAACAUGGUUACAUUACCAGAAGUGGUUGCGAAGUCAGAAAGCCUAACAGAUACAAUGAAUAGAGCAAUCAUUUCUAAUACAGGUACAAGUUCUCAAGUGAUGUACUUUGUAAGAACUAAUCACCAUAAUUGACUUGUUCUAUAUUUAGGUAUAUCUUGACAUCAGUCCAGUGAUUUGUUCAUAUUUUUUUUUUUCAUGUUCUUUUUUUUUUUUUCUUUCUCAAUCUUCUUGUUUCAGUGAAAUGUUUUUAUCUUGUUUGUUUUUGGAAGAGGGAAGUUCUAUGAUAUAUUAUCAUUAUUAUUAUUGUAUUAAGCAAACUUGU